AGGAGAAAGGUCAAUUGAAUCUUAUUCGUAUAAUAUGCACAUCCAUAGACAAGAAUUAUUUUGCAUUAACUCUACAACUUAGUUGUAAAAAUAGCUCAAAGGCAGUGAAAGACUAGAAUCAGAUAAUUGGAAGGGUGCACCCUAAGCAAUGCAUAGUUCUAUUUUCUUUCUUUUUUUUUUUGAGACAGAGUUUCCCUCUUGUCACACAGGCUGGAGCGCAGUGGUGCAAUCUUGGCUCAUUGCAACCUCUGCCUCCCGGGUUCAAGUGAUUCUCCUGACUCAGCCUCCUGAGUAGCUGGGAUUACAGGCGCAUGCCACCACAACUGGCUAAUUUUUGUAUUUUUAGUAGAUACAGGGUUUCACUGUGUUGGCCAGGUUGGUCUCAUACUCCUGACCUCAGGUGAUCCACCCGCCUCGGCCUCCCAAAAUGUUGGGAUUACAGGCGUCAGCCACCACGCCCGGCCCCAAUGCAUAGUUUUUUACUGAAGACAACCAGAAUCUCUGUUGCUUAUUCCAAAUUUCCUUCCACCACUUGUCCAUCCAGCAGAGCCACUUUUAAAAUAGGACACAGGCAGAAAUUUAAAGGAGUCAAUAUCUCAUGGUGAAAAGUGAAUCCUGAGGGUUAGAGCAUCCACCAGGUGCCCUAGGUAAGGGCCAGCCACUCUGGGAGGCAGCCCGGGGCACUCACUGUCCUCUCAGUAGUAAAUGAAAUCACUCAGGCCAUGUCUGCUACCCAGAGAGCCUGAGUGUCCUCAAAUGCUUGUUCUGCCUCUCCAUCCACUCCUGCAGACACCUCAGUGGCUGCAUCCCAAACCGCUGAACUUUGCUUCUCUUUCUCCAACCCCCAAUUCCACCCACAUCCAAAACUGCUCUGCCCCCUAUUCCCAUCUCAGCUGAGGGUACUAUCAUCCACCCUGUGGCCACAUCCAGGAAUGUGUGUAUCACCUGGGCUCUGAGGAUGACAUCAGCUCUUCUAAGUCAACAGAAUGUCGGGUCUGUUCUAAAAGUCUCAUCUGACAAGGAGAUCUUUAAGGCUUUACUCCCUUAAAGGCUUUACUCCCAUCAUGAUGGGAUAACCAUCAUGAUGGAUUUCAGUGUCAUUCUGUCUUUUUCUUCGGAAUGAUUCCUGGGACUCGCCUUGUUUGCAACAUGUGCAUUGAAAUAUCUUUUCAACAUAACUUUGUUCUUAAUUGUGUUUACUUCCUUUCUCUGUGAAUCUCAGUGAUUCCUGGAAGCUGUGGUUGGUGGGGGAUGGGGUGGGAGGACUUUGGUAGUAUAAAAGAGUACCUGCAAUGAAUGUUCUAAGAAACUGGAGUGUUGGGGUCCUCCAGCCCUUGGCUGGUAAACUCUCCACUCCUUCCUCUUUGCAACACAAUUCUCAUAACUGGCAAAGGUGUGCAUGUAAAAUUUGUGACUGUAGUCUGAGGUUUUUUUUCCCUGUACAAUUCCGCCUUCCCCCCUGUAAGCCUGUACCAGGAGAGGUCUCAGCUGCCUUGGAGGCGGUGAGACACGUGGGUGCUCACUGUGGCCCUCAAGGGUGAGGCUGGCACUGGGGCAUCUGGGGCCAGAAGUCCUCCUUUAGUCCCAAGUCUCUGCCACUCAAGUGCAUCAGUGAGAGGUCCUCAUAGAAAAUCUACUGUGGGCACAAAGCUGCCAGGCUGAUGGGGGUGGGGAGCAAACGAACACCCUUUUCCCCUUUUACACCAGAGGAAAGAGACUUAGACUGAGGAACUUGCCUGCUGCCAGACAGCUGGGAGGUGGUAGAACCGGGCUUACAGCCCAGGGUUUCCACUCUAGGAACUCUUCUCCCUUCCUCUGAUGACACUAACUCGCAGGCCAUGAUCAAUGAGCAACGAUGUAGGCAGGCACUGACGAGGCACAGCAGGAAGGCAGCUCAGUGCCCAUGACGGCCAGGAACUGGGUACCAUUUCCUCAGCAAAAUGGGAUAGUAACUCCCACACUGCAGCUACGCACUUGGGCAGUGGUUCACAAGGCCAGCAGCCACAACAUCACCCCAGACCAGCAGCAGCUGCAGCAUUACCCCCAGCACUUGUUAAAAGAUGCAAAUUCAGGCCAGGUGUGGUGGCUCGUGCCUGUAAUCCCAGUACUUUGGGAAGCCAAGGCGGGUGGGUCACCUGAGGUCAGGAGUUCGAGACCAGCCUGGCCAAUGUGGUGAAACCCUGUCUCUACUAAAAAUACAAAAAAUGACCCGGGCAUGGUUGUGGGCGCCUGUAAUCCCAGCUACCCAGGAGACCGAGGCAGGAGAAUCACUUGAACCCGGGAGGCAGAGGUUGCAGUCAGCCGAGAUUGUGCCAUUACACUCCAGCCUGGGCAACAAGAGCGAAACUCUGUUUCAAUAAAUAAAUAAAAAUGCAAAUUGUAUGCCCCUUCCUUCAGGCCUAUGGGACCAAAAACUGGGAUGGGGCCCAAUAAAAUGUUUUAACCAGCCCUUCGGUGGUUACAGAAGGAUAGAGCCAGAAUAGACUAACCACUGUAACAAACAUUACCUAUACUUGGGAGGCUUUGAAAAAUGUUUAUUUAGCCGGGUGCGGUGGCUCACGCCUGUAAUCCCAACACUUUGGGAGGCUGAGGCGGGCGGAUCACGAGGUCAGGAGAUUGAGACCAGCCUGGCUAACACAGUGAAACCCCGUCUCUACUAAAAAUACAAAAAAUUAGCCAGGUGUGGUGGCAGGUGCCUGUAGUCCCAGCUACUCUGGAGGCUGAGGCAGUAGAAUUUCUUGAACCCAGGAGGCGGGGCUUGCAGUAAGUCGAGAUCACGCCACUGCACUCCAGCCUGGGUGACAGAGUGAGACUCCAUCUCAAAAAAAAAAAAAAAGGAAAGAAAAAUGUUUAUUUUUUUGCUCAUGCCACAGUCUCUGGUAGUUGCUGGGAACUAGGGUGGGGGAUUCUCUGCUCCACACAGUCUUUCAUGGACCCAGGUUCCUUUCCUGUUGUGGGUCCAGCCUCCUGUAGCUGUUGGAGGCAUCUCUAGUCAGCUGGUGGUUGGGGAAGAGGUGAGGAUCAGGGAGGGAAGAUGGAGAGUACUCUGCUUGUUCUCACAUUCUGCUGGCCAGAACUCACAAGCCACCUGAAAUGAUGCAAAGGUCUAGCUGUGUGUGUAGGAGAAAGAAGAGAGGCCAGAUAUUGGAAGACAGCAGUGGUCUGUGCCCCAGGCCCCAUGGUUUAGGGAAGUGAACCUUGGCACUGGAUUUCCUGGCUUUCUAAAUCUCCCUUUAUAGGGAACUUAGGGCCCAGUCUGUGGUGGGUGGAUUUGCCUGGUUCACAGCCUCUGGUCAGCCUUCUUUCUGCUCCACAGGGCGGCCUGGAGAUGGUGGGCUCCUUGUCACACUGGUUGGGGAUGUGGGCUCCAUGGGGCCAGAGAUGUGUGUGCUCUGUGUUCAGAUUAAGGGACAGACGGCACAUGAAUUCCUUCAGUGCCCUCCAGAUUUGGUCACUGGGGAGGGGUAGGCUGAGCAGUAGCUCUUGGGUCUGUAGUAGUGUGACCCUGGAAGGACUGUCCAGCUGAAAACAAGAGCCUGGGGCGUGGGGAGGGGAGGGGUUACUCAGGGUUCCAUGAGACCUGGGUUUAAGUCCUGGAUCCAUCAUUAGCAGCUAUGUGAACUUAUGCCUCACUUUCCUCAAAUAUGAACUUGAGAUAAUGAAAUUACCUUCCUCAUAAUACUGUUCUAAGAAUUGAAUGAGGAAAGGUUUACAAUUCGGCCCUGGUUGUUCCACUGGGGAGGGAACAGAGAUUGGGGGCACAGGGCUCCCCUGGCCUGGGGGAGUCUGGCUCACUCAAGUUCUCAGUCAUUUGCAAGGCAAGGACCCUGCUUCUCCUUGCUCUGGGUCCGAGUAGUCUCAAGCCCAGUGGGCAGGGCCUGUGGUGUGGAUGGACUCGUCUGCAGUGAGUCAGGCAGCAGGCAGAGCUGGCAGGCUGUGUGGUCUCUAGUGGGUACCAGGGGACCUGGGAGGGCCUUGUGGGAGGUUGUCCACGGUGUGAGCCAGUUUGCCAUCUGGGGUCCUGGAGUUCCCUCCCGCCCUUUGAGUUAAAAAGAGUCAGUCCUGGGCUGAGACUUAAUUGCGCUAGUGCUGAGUGACCUUGUGUCAGGGGAAAUCGGAUGGGGCAAAGUGUUUUUUAAUUAGCAGGACUCACUGACCUUUCCUUCACUGUCAGCAACUUCUCACAGGGAGGCAGAGCAAGGGGGGCUGGAGCCCCGCAUCUCUCUAAUGGAGCCUAUGUCCAACAAGGAGGUGGAUGGCUGGAUUCAGGGCCCUGGGAGGACUUCAUGUGGGAAGCAGACCUCAGGAAGGGCCCUUAGUGAUGGUGUGGGCCAGGGUUCUCACCUCCUUAGUCUCCUGUCCUGUCCAUCUCCGCAGAUCCUAGGCAAAAGAAGCGGAGAAACACUCAAGCCACUGGGGUGGUUAGGGCACACUGGUGGCAACUGUUUAAAACCUUAACUAAAACAAGGUUAAGCAAAAGGAGUUUACAGGCUCUCAUAGAUGGGAAGGAUGUGGGAGGGUCACAGACUGAGAGGAACCAGGGCUGUGGCUGCUGGAAGGAGCCUCACCACCGCCAGUGUGUUUCCUCCCCGUCGUCGGCAUCUCUGCUUCUCUCUGCACGCCAGCAGCUCUCUCUUAGGGCACGCAGACCUUUCCUCUGCAGGGGAACACGAGUGCCGGCAGCCCCGAGUUAGUGACUAUCAUAGAAACUCAGUGUAUUUCUCUCUUGUUUAUCAUUCCGAGUCCUGAGUCACAGGCUUGUCCAGCACUCAAGACUUUUUCUUUUCUCUAUUUUUUGAAACGGAUUCUCGCUCUGUCCCCCAGGCUGGAGUGCAGUGGCCCGAUUUUGGGUGCAAGCGAUUCUCCUGCCUCAACCUCCCGAGUAGCUGGGACUACAGGUGUGCGCCACCACAUCCAGCUAAUUUUUGUAUUUUUAGUAGAGACGGAGUUUCACUAUGUUGGCCAGGCUGGUUUCAAACUCCUGACCUCCCGCCGGCCUCAGCCUCCCAAAGUGCUGGGAUUACAGGCAUGAGCCACCACGCCUGGCCAAGAUUUUUUCUUUUAAACCUGGAGUAUGGAGAUGCUCACUAGGCAGACAGAAUCAGCCACCACAGCCCACUCCCUCAGCCAGUAUUACUUUGACUAAGUUAGUGAGGAACCAGGCCCCAGAUUAAGAAGCAGAACUCACACUGUCAUCUGCUGUGUGCCUGGCUGGCUCAUGCAUACCUUGUCUAUCUAAUGUGGACCAAAGCCCUGUGGCACACCCUGCUGGUUACCCCCAGUGGUUACCCUGGCACAGAGGAGGAAAGGGAGUCGUGGGAGGGAGAAGGACUUCCCUGGGAGGUCUCUGGGCUGGCAAGUUGGGUGACACAGGUCCGGUUGGCUGCAAGCCUGGGCUCUGCUGUUGUAAUCAUAAAUGUGUGUGUGUGUACAGUUGUUUACAAUGUCAGCAUGGGUGUCCUUGUUUGUUAGAGAUACAUGCCACUGCUCCCAUCAUGAGGAAAAUCCCAAGCCCUCCCCAUGAUUUUUGCCAGUUUCUGGGGACUCAUGCUCCUGGCAGCCCAUGUGUCCCCAACUCCUGUGUCCUUUAGGGACCUCUGUUGAGCCCUGCCUCUAUUCUGGCAGAAUUAGAGAAAAUUCUUUAAAAAAACAAUAAAGUUUAAAUUCAUUUAAAAAAAUAAUAAAAAAUCUCACAGCAUGAGUUUUGAUGAGAUUUGGGGCAAGGUGGGCCACAACCUUGGGUUGUAUGGCCACCUCCCCCUCUUCUUCCCCUGUUGUCUCUGCAGCUCAGAAACCCCAAUUUCCUGGCCUGUGUUAUGUGGAGGAGCUGAGCUCACCCCCUACAGCUUCAUCUCCAAACCUAGCAAGGAUCCUGCCCAGAUCAGGAGAUCCUCCUUUUAACAGAAGUUAUUUACACUCCUUAGAAAGCAGUGGGGGUGGAACGAUUCUUUUUCCUGAUGCAGAGAUGUAAAACUGGGACAUUGCUACACAUAAUAUUUUAAACCUGUCUUCCCUCUUACCAACGAACACAUCACUAGCACCAUCUAUGCCAAUACAUUUCUCAACAUCAAUUUCAGUGGCUGUAUUACAUUUUAUCCUACGGAUGUGCUCUCAUUUAUAAUCUAAACCACUUUUAUUGAACACAUCAGUUAUUCUGAAAUUUUCAGUGUUAUGAUGGAUGUUGCAGUAAUUAUUCUUAUAUAUGCACAGAACCCCCAGAGGACAUGACUACUGAAGGCUGUGCUGGCAGGAUCACAGGUUUCCACACUGUUAAAUUCAUUCCAAGUAUUUCAUACAUGCUGUUCCUAUUAUGAAAGGAUCUUUUUUUUCACAUGGCAUUUUCUAAGUAGUUGUUGCAUUCAUAUAGGAGAUGCUAUUGAUUUUGACACCCAUAAUUUUUCAGUGGAGACAAGGCAGAAACUACUCCAGACUCUCACCUGCUGUUGCUGAUCCUUACAUGGUGGCUGUGCCAGGCUCAGCCGCGCUGAGAUGACAGGGCUGUCUGGCCAUCAUUGGUCAUAUGGACUUCAGAUUUGAAAGGAUUUUAUGUAGAAGCAGAGUGCCUGAUAGGACUCUCCGGGACCCCCAUUUCUGCCCUGCUUGGCUCCCACUGGCAAGGCUGGCUCAGUUCCUGUCACCUUCUCCUGGACUUUGGCCAGAGUCCACUGGCUGUUUCCCCUGCCUCCUGCUCUCCCAGUGCCCUCUCCACACCAGUGCCAGAGCUGCUUCUAAGAGAUGCCUCAAAGCCCGCUUCCAGCUUAGGAACCCCAGGGAACAUGGAUGGUUUCUCCAUUGCCACUUCCUAGCCUUCCUGGCAUAGGAAGGUCUGGUUUGCCUGCAGGUCCCUCUCUGGGGGGGUCCCUGCUCCAUAGAUGCUGAGGCUCCAGAAGUCUGUUCUUUUAUAUCACAUUUGAAAACCUUUGAAAUGCAUUAUAGUUGAGUCAUAUGAAUUAUGUAAGUAUAUCCUACUCAUUGUAUAAAACAACACAGAAUUGUCUAAAGUGUCAUUUUUCUCCGCAUUCCAAGAAAAAGCUAAGAAGCAAUGCUAAACAA